rnacentral:rRNA from 1 species
GACGAACGCUGGCGGCGUGCCUAAUACAUGCAAGUAGAACGCACAGUUUAUACCGUAGCUUGCUACACCAUAGACUGUGAGUUGCGAACGGGUGAGUAACGCGUAGGUAACCUGCCUGGUAGCGGGGGAUAACUAUUGGAAACGAUAGCUAAUACCGCAUAAUAUUGAUUAUUGCAUGAUAAUUGAUUGAAAGAUGCUAUUGCAUCACUACCAGAUGGACCUGCGUUGUAUUAGCUAGUAGGUGAGGUAACGGCUCACCUAGGCGACGAUACAUAGCCGACAGGAGAGGGGGAGCGGCCACACUGGGACUGAGACACGGCCCAGAGUAAUACGGGAGGCAGCAGGAGGGAAUAGUCGGAAAUGGACGAAAGUCUGACCGAGCAACGCCGAGGGAGUGAAGAAGGUUGUCGGAUCGUAAAGCUCUGUUGUAAGAGAAGAAAGGGUGUGAGAGUGGAAAGUUCACACUGUGACGGUAGCUGACCAGAAAGGGACGGCUAACUACGUG